AACGCUGGCGGCGUGCUUAACACAUGCAAGUCGAACGAGGCAGCGGCCUUCGGGCCCGUUGUCGAGUGGCGAACGGGUGAGUAACACGUGAGGAACCUGCCCCGGAGACCGGGAUAACCAGGGGAAACUCUGGCUAAUACCGGGUGCCCCCGGAUGGUCGCAUGGCCAACCGAGGAAACGCUCCGGUGCUCCGGGAGGGCCUCGCGGCCUAUCAGCUUGUUGGUGGGGUAACGGCCCACCAAGGCAUCGACGGGUAGCUGGUCUGAGAGGACGAUCAGCCACACUGGGACUGAGACACGGCCCAGACUCCUACGGGAGGCAACAGUGGGGAAUAUUGCGCAAUGGGCGAAAGCCUGACGCAGCAACGCCGCGUGGGGGAUGAAGGCCUUCGGGUUGUAAACCCCUUUCAGCAGGGACGAAAAUGACGGUACCUGCAGAAGAAGCCCCGGCCAACUACGUGCCAGCAGCCGCGGUAACACGUAGGGGGCAAGCGUUGUCCGGAUUUAUUGGGCGUAAAGAGCUCGUAGGCGGUUGCGUAAGUCGGAUGUGAAAACUCAGGGCUCAACCCGGAGACGCCAUCCGAUACUGCGCUGACUAGAGUCCGGUAGAGGAGCAUGGAAUUCCUGGUGUAGCGGUGAAAUGCGCAGAUAUCAG
rnacentral:rRNA from 1 species